UCAGAAAUGAGAUCAAAUAUCCCGCUCUUCGGAAACAAAAUUCGACCUAUGAAGUUGUGCAACAACCUCAUCUCAGCUGAAAGAGAGCUUGCUAUUACAUUUUUGGAAUAGUCGAAAUCAUCAUUCUCAAGAAUCAACUGUAGAGCUCUCAACAUGUUUUCAGGCUUUUCUGGAGUUGCACCUUCGCAGGGGAGAUGAAGCAACUCACU
rnacentral:lncRNA from 1 species